UUGAGCCCUAUGAGGCGGAAAGUCUCACGCACGGUUCUUAGGGGGCAAUGGUGCCGUAAUGUGCUGUUGCUACCCGGC
rnacentral:ncRNA from 1 species